rnacentral:rRNA from 1 species
GGGGGCGAGCGUUGUCCGGAAUUUCUGGGCGUAAAGGGCGUGUAGGCGGCCUUUAAAGUCAGCUGUGAAAUCCCCCGGAUCAACUGGGGGAUUGCAGUUGAAACUUUCUGGCUUGAGUGUCAGGCGAGGAAGGUGGAAUUCCCGGUGUAGCGGUGAAAUGCGUAGAUAUUUGGGAGGGACACCGGUGGCGAAGGCGGCCUUCUGGCCUGUAACUGACGCUGAGGCGCGAAAGCUAGGGGAGCACAACCAGGAUUAGAUAACCCUGGUGGUCCUACCUGUAAAAAUUUGCGUGGCUAGGUGUAUGGGGGUUUUGACGCUUUCUGUGCCGUAGCUAACAAUUUCCAAAGGGCCCCGCCCUGGGGAGUGGGGGACUCAGGGUAAGGUGUCAACCGG